rnacentral:rRNA from 1 species
GAUGAACGCUGGCGGCGUGCCUAAUACAUGCAAGUCGAGCGAACAGACGAGGAGCUUGCUCCUCUGACGUUAGCGGCGGACGGGUGAGUAACACGUGGAUAACCUACCUAUAAGACUGGGAUAACUUCGGGAAACCGGAGCUAAUACCGGAUAAUAUAUUGAACCGCAUGGUUCAAUAGUGAAAGACGGUUUUGCUGUCACUUAUAGAUGGACCCGCGCCGCAUUAGCUAGUUGGUAAGGUAACGGCUUACCAAGGCAACGAUGCGUAGCCGACCUGAGAGGGUGAUCGGUCACACUGGAACUGAGACACGGUCCAGACUCCUACGGGAGGCAGCAGUAGGGAAUCUUCCGCAAUGGGCGAAAGCCUGACGGAGCAACGCCGCGUGAGUGAUGAAGGUCUUCGGAUCGUAAAACUCUGUUAUUAGGGAAGAACAAAUGUGUAAGUAACUAUGCACGUCUUGACGGUACCUAAUCAGAAAGCCACGGCUAACUACGUG